UCCAGGGUAGACUAGUGGACAUGGCACCUGCCCGGUAAGCAGAAGGUUGUGGGUUCGAUUCCCGCCCCUGGAC